rnacentral:misc_RNA from 1 species
AACAUCGCGCACCUGCGGGAACCUGCGGAGGGAUCAUUACAGAGUUCGUGCCCUCGCGGGUAGAUCUCCCACCCUUGUGUAUUCCUUACAUUUUGUUGCUUUGGCAGGCCGUUGGUUCGCCAACCACCGGCUCUACGGGCUGGUGCGUGCCUGCCAGAGGACCCCCCAAACUCGGUUUGUUAGUGUCGUCUGAGUAACCAUAACAAUCGUUAAAACUUUUAACAAUGGAUCUCAGAUCGG